rnacentral:ncRNA from 1 species
AUAUAAUUUGGUUAUGGUUAACAAAUUAGCUACCUUAUUAAAUAACACAUGCAAAUACACGUGCCCCCGUAAAUUUAUACGCUCAUGUCUAAAAGACUAGUGCUACCGUCAUUACAUUAACAAAGUAAAAAUAAAAAUUACGCCUGCAGUGAAAAAUACUGAUAAAAUUAUGAAAAUAAGAUACGAUAAAUAACCUUAAGACCGACAAAAUUCGUGCCAGCAGCCGCGGUUAAACGAAAAGUCUAAGCUAAUUUAAACGGAGUUUUGAAACAAAAAUAUUGAUAGAAAAACCUAAUCAAAAGGUACAAUUUUAUAAACAAAUAAUAUCGUCUACCAACAUAUACAUUCAACAAAGUUAAGACCAAAACAAGGAUUAGAUACCCUUUUAUUUUUAACUACAAACCUGCCCUCCUGGCACUACGAGUACAUACUUAAAACCUAAGAACUUGGCGGUGUCUCAACAUACUAGGGGAGCCUGUUUUAUAACCGAUAACCCACGAUCACCCCUUACCUAGAUUUGAAUACAGCUUGUGUACUGCCGUCUAAAGUUCACAUAGCGAUAUAGUGAACUAAAAAACUAAUUAACCUUAACACGUCAGGUCGAAGUGCAGCCUACAUCUAGGCCAAAAUGGGCUACAUUUUCUAAAUAUUCGAACUGUCCAAUAAAAUGGACACAAAGAUGGACUUAACAGUAAAAUAUAAAUAACUUCUAUAUUUGAAGAAGCAAAAUGAGACAUGCACACAUCGCCCGUCACUCUUUUCGAAAGAAAAGAUAAGUCGUAACAUAGUUAGUGUAAUGGAAAUUGCACUUAUCGAAAU